UACGGAGGGUGCAAGCGUUAUCCGGAUUCACUGGGUUUAAAGGGUGCGUAGGUGGGUUUGUAAGUCAGUGGUGAAAUCUCCAAGCUUAACUUGGAAACUGCCGUUGAUACUAUAAAUCUUGAAUGUUGUGGAGGUGAGCGGAAUAUGUCGUGUAGCGGUGAAAUGCUUAGAUAUGACGUAGAACACCAAUUGCGAAGGCAGCUCACUACACAAAGAUUGACACUGAGGCACGAAAGCGUGGGGAUCAAACAGG
rnacentral:rRNA from 1 species